GAACACUACAACAACAGCUCCAACACCAACAACGGCUGUGACAAAUGCAACAACAAUUGCUACAACAGAUGUGAACACGACAACAGUUACCACAACACCAACAAUUGUAACAAAUUCAACACCUGUUGCCACAACAAAUAUGAACACUACAACAACAGCUCCAACACCAGCUUUAACAAAUGCAACAACAAUUGCUACAAUAGAUGUGAACACGACAACAGUUACCACAACACCAACAAUUGUAACAAAUUCAACAACUAUUGCUUCAACAUAUCAAAACAUUACAAUACUCACAACUACACCACCAACUGUAACCAGUAUGUAUUUAUGAACACCAUAAUACUCACACCUUC